UUAGGUUUUGUGCGCGCGUCGCAUUGCUUCCGUGAAUCUUCCCCGUUAUUGCACUCUGAUUCGAAGGGUUAUGAUGAAGAGAUAUGUUUGCUGGGAGUGGACUGUGAGAGAAAAAAAUGAUGUCUUCAUCUUUGAUUGUGGUUGUCUCUGUCGCUAUGUCUCCCAAAACCUAGGGAUUCAACUCGGAUCUCCAUAAUAUGCUCAUGUUGUCAAAGUGAGAAAUUGGAAAGGCCAGUUGAACAUACCUGAUCCAGCAAAUAUGAGCGAUGACAACAUCACAAGGAGUUAUCAUCAUCACCAUCAUGGAGCCACAAGAGAAUCAUCAUCAAGGAGUUAUCCCUAACAGACAGAAAAGGUCGAUCUGAAAAAUACAGUUGCUGAUGAGAGCCAAAGACAGUGGAAUGAUCAAGAGACUUCCUCCACAUUAAGGAAGGAAAAAUCUAGUGAAGGAAGUGCAAGUGAUCUAAGGAUGACAACGAGAGAAAUGAUGCUGCAGAAGAAGAAAUAGAUGAUGAAGACAAUGCCUUUUUUGACACCUGCGAUUUUCUAUCGUCC